UACCCAUGGUGAGGAGACAUACUCAACAACUCCUUAAACCUCUCCCAAGUCUUAUAGAAAGUUUCACUAUUCUUUUGGGCAAAGGUAGAGAUCUGCCUCUUUAAAGCA